rnacentral:rRNA from 1 species
GGCGAACGGGUGCGUAAUACAUCGGAACAUGUCCAUUCGUGGGGGAUAGCCCGGCGAAAGCCGGAUUAAUACCGCAUGAGCCCGAGAGGGGAAAGUGGGGGACUCGAAAGGGCCUCACGCGGAUGGGUUGGCCGAUGUCCGAUUAGCUAGUUGGCGGGGUAAAGGCCCACCAAGGCGAUGAUCGGUAGCUGGUCUGAGAGGAUGAUCAGCCACACUGGGACUGAGACACGGCCCAGACUCCUACGGGAGGCAGCAGUGGGGAAUUUUGGACAAUGGGGGCAACCCUGAUCCAGCCAUUCCGCGUGAGUGAAGAAGGCCUUCGGGUUGUAAAGCUCUUUUGUCCGGAACGGAAACGGGUAGCGUGAAUAUCGUGCCUACUGACGGUACCCGGGAAGAAUAAGCACC